rnacentral:tRNA from 1 species
GCCUGGCUAGCUCAAUCAGUAGAGCAUGUGACUCUUGAUCUCAGGAUUGUGAGUUCAAGUCCCAUUGUUGGGCA